rnacentral:rRNA from 1 species
GACGAACGCUGGCGGCGUGCUUAACACAUGCAAGUCGAACGGAAAGGCCCUGCUUGUGUGCGGUGCUCGAGUGGCGAACGGGUGCGUAACACGUGAGUAUCCUGCCCUUGACUUUGGGAUAACUUCAGGAAACUGGGGCUAAUACCGGAUAGGAGCUCCUGCUGCUUGGUGGGGGUUGGAAAGUUUCGGCGGUUGGGGAUGGACUCGCGGCUUAUCAGCUUGUUGGUGGGGUAGUGGCUUACCAAGGCUUUGACGGGUAGCCGGCCCGUGAGGGUGACCGGCGACAUUGGGACUGAGAUACGGCCCAGACGCCUACGGGAGGCAGCGGUGGGGAAUAUUGCACAGUGGGCGGAAGCCUGAGGCAGCGACGCCGCGUGCGGGAUGACGGCCUUCGGGUUGUGAACCGCUUUAGCCUGUGACGAAGCGUGAGUGACGGUAAUGGGUAAAGAAGCACCGGCUAACUACGUG